CAGGGAUUGCCCUAGUAACGGCGAGUGAAGCGGCAACAGCUCAAAUUUAAAAUCUGGCCCUCGUGGUCCGAGUUGUAAUUUGUAGAGGAUGCUUUUGGUGCGGUGCCUUCCGAGUUCCCUGGAACGGGACGCCAGAGAGGGUGAGAGCCCCGUACGGUUGGACACCUACCCUAUAUAUAGCUCCUUCGACGAGUCGAGUAGUUUGGGAAUGCUGCUCUAAAUGGGAGGUAAAUUUCUUCUAAAGCUAAAUACCGGCCAGAGACCGAUAGCGCACAAGUAGAGUGAUCGAAAGAUGAAAAGCACUUUGAAAAGAGGGUUAAAUAGCACGUGAAAUUGUUGAAAGGGAAGCGUUUGCGACCAGACCUUUUCCCGGCGGAUCAUCUGGUGUUCUCACCGGUGCACUUCGCUUGGUUUAGGCCAGCAUCGGUUUCUUUAGGGGGAUAAAGGCGUUGGGAACGUAGCUCUUUCGGGAGUGUUAUAGCCCUUCACGUAAUACCCUUCGAGGGACCGAGGACCGCGCAUUGCAAGGAUGCUGGCGUAAUGGUCGUCAACGACCCGUCUUGAAACACGGACCAAGGAGUCGAACAUUUGUGCGAGUGUUUGGGUGUUAAACCCUCACGCGUAAUGAAAGUGAACGGAGGUGAGAGCCCUUACGGGUGCAUCAUCGACCGAUCCUGAUGUCUUCGGAUGGAUUUGAGUAAGAGCAUAACUGUUCGGACCCGAAAGAUGGUGAACUAUGCGUGGAUAGGGUGAAGCCAGAGGAAACUCUGGUGGAGGCUCGCAGCGGUUCUGACGUGCAAAUCGAUCGUCAAAUCUGCGCAUGGGGGCGAAAGUAAGUUCCAUACCUACCCUAUAUACAGCUACCCUGUAGCUACCCUAUAUAUGGCUACCCUGUAGCUACCCUAUAUAUACAUCUAUAAUGAGAAUUUAAUGCUAACAAGUUUCCCU
rnacentral:rRNA from 1 species